CCGAGUAUUUAUGUUCGUAUUUUGGUUUCAGGACUCCAUGUAAUGUAAUUAUGUAGAGCACAUGAUUGUGAUGUUUAUAUGAUGUGCCGUUAACCUUAUCAGUACAACUCACUCCACAAGUGGUAAGAGUAUAUUUAUUUAUAGUUUAGCAUUGUUUAUAUUGUAUUGUAAACAUGACUUACCUCCCGUUAAUUUGGAGCUUUUAACGAAUCG
rnacentral:lncRNA from 1 species